rnacentral:rRNA from 1 species
UUAAGUUCAAAUACCGGAAAAGUGAAACCGCAAAGAGCUCCUUACAACAGCUAUUAUUGGCUUGAUCUUGAUAUUCUACGUGGAUAACUGUGGUAAUUCUAGAGCUAAUACAUGCACCAAAGCUCCGAUUCAUGAGGAGCGCACCUAUUAGACUAAAACCAACCGGGUUUCGGCUCGGUGUUUUGGGGACUCUGAAUAGCUAUAGUUGAUCGCAUGGUCUUGUACCGGCGGCGUGUCUAUCAAGUGUCUGCCUUAUCAACUUUCGAUGGUAGUUUAUGUGCCUACCAUGGUUGUUACGGGUAACGGAGAAUUAGGGUUCGACUCCGGAGAGGGAGCUUGAGAAAUGGCUACCACAUCCAAGGAAGGCAGCAGGCGCGCAAAUUACCCACUCUCGGUAUGAGGAGGUAGUGACGAGAAAUAACGAGACCGUUCUCAUUGAGGCCGGUUAUCGGAAUGAGUGGAUCUAAAUGUCCUGACGAGGAUCUAUGAGAGGGCAAGUCUGGUGCCAGCAGCCGCGGUAAUUCCAGCUCUCAUAGUGUAUAUCGUUGCUGCUGCGGUUAAAAAGCUCGUAGUUGGAUCUGCGCUUGAGAACUUGGUCCACCAUUUUGGUGCUGAACUAAGUACAUCUCAGUGUUUACCGUUUAGCUGGUUCUCCUAGCGUUGCCUUUACCGGUCGCGUUAGGUGGCUAGCAAGUUUACUUUGAAAAAAUUAGAGUGCUUAAAGCGGGCUAUCGAUGCUUGAAUAGUGGUGCAUGGGAUAAUAGAAUACGAUUACGGGUCUAUUUUGUUGGUUUUCUGAUCUGUGAUAAUGGUUAAGAGGGACAAACGGGGGCAUUCGUAUCGCUGCGCGAGAGGUGAAAUUCGUGGACCGUAGCGAGACGCCCUACUGCGAAAGCAUUUGCCAAGAAUGUUUUCAUUAAUCAAGAACGAAAGUCAGAGGUUCGAAGGCGAUCAGAUACCGCCCUAGUUCUGACCGUAAACGAUACCAACUAGUCGAUCCGCUGAUGGCAAUUACUCGCCUUAGCUGGUAGCUCUCCGGAAACGAAAGUUUUUCGGUUCCGGGGGAAGUAUGGUUGCAAAGCUGAAACUUAAAGAAAUUGACGGAAGGGCACCACCAGGAGUGGAGCCUGCGGCUUAAUUUGACUCAACACGGGAAAACUCACCUGGCCCGGACACCGUAAGGAUUGACAGACUGAUAGCUCUUUCUUGAUUUGGUGGUUGGUGGUGCAUGGCCGUUCUUAGUUGGUGGAGUGAUUUGUCUGGUUUAUUCCGAUAACGAGCGAGACUCAAACCUGCUAAAUAGUUAUCAGAUAUAUUGGGUGUCAGUGUUUGCGCGGUUGUAUUGGCUUAACCGUCAGUGCAGCUGUGACAAGCAUUAGCGCUUGUGUCUGAUAUUUACUUCUUAGAGGGACAAGCGGUUUUCAGCCGCAUGAAGUUGAGCAAUAACAGGUCUGUGAUGCCCUUAGAUGUUCAGGGCUGCACGCGUGCUACACUGCGAGGAAUCAGCGUGCAGUAGCCAUUCUUGAAAGGGACUGGUAACCCCCUGAAAAUCCUCCGUGAUUGGGAUCGGGAAUUGCAAUUAUUUCCCUUGAACGAGGAAUUCCUAGUAAGUGUGAGUCAUCAGCCCGCGUUGAUUACGUCCCUGCCCUUUGUACACACCGCCCGUCGCUGCCCGGGACUGAGCCGUUUCGAGAAAAGCGGGGACUGCUUUUCGAU